CGAACAAUCAUCGAAAACGAAGCACCCGACCAGCUGAUGAAACCGUGUGAUGAAAAGGAAAGGUACUAAUCAACAAACUAAACAAUUAUCAUCGACCAAACCGUGUGAUGAAAAGCAGACACUGGUCUCGAUAGCGUCAAAGCUCACGGCAGGAUUAGAGGAGCUGUCUUCCCUUCGCAUCUGCCCUCACCUAAGCAGACACUUCACUCUCUGAGUCUUCACGCGCUUGCCAUCUGAAUCUCGCCUCCAUCCCGUCGCCUCCGCCGCACCAGAUCCCCGCCGCCGGCAUCAGCCCGCCCGGGUCUGUGGAGUACCCGGCUACAGGUUACCCAUGAGCUGUUGGAGGAGAUGUUGGCGACUCUGAUGCCAUCGGAUACUAAAGGCCAAGCCUGUUGUUACAUUCUUUGGCAGGACUAGCGCCAAUGUUUUACUGAGAAGCAGUUUGCACGUCAAUAGCUGGUGUUGUGAUGCUUCUUCUGGCCGGCCGUGGAGGCGAGAGGAUGAAGAGCAACGGUACGUCGUCUUGUGCAUCUCGAAGGUGGUGGUGAUGGCUCUUGCUGCAAGGUGGAGUGAAUCACACGGUGGCUAUGUCCGCUACCGUGUUCUGUGGCCGAAGUGGCGGCCCCUCCAAUCGCCGUAGUGGCGAUUCUACAACCUCCAAGGUGGAGGCCCCUUCAAGAGCUUCUCGCCGGAGCUCUUUGUUUCACCCCAAGUGGUGCGUCCCCAGCGGGAGUCAUGGCGGCCGGCGAUUGAGGCUCAAUCCCGGUGGAGAGGACCAAGGACUUGAUGGCGUUUCUAUUUUCUGUUUUAGGGUCCUUUAUGUAAUUGUAUUGGGUUGUGCUGUAAUUUUCUCAUUUUCUGAGGGUACAGUUUGUAAAAUGUUCCCUUCGACGCUUAAUUAAUGACAGCUUCGGGGUCCUUCGAGGCCCCAUCCCUAUUCAAAAAAAAAUCUGGCAUUCUAA